CCUGGGUAUGGUGGUGCAUGCCUGUAAUCCCAGCUACUUGGGAGGUUGAGGCAGGAGAAUCGCUUGAACAGGGAGUCAGAGGUUGCAGUGAGCUGAGAUCGAGCCACUGCACUCCAGCCUGGCAACAGAGCAAGACUCUGUCUCAAAAAAAAAAAAAAAAAGAAAAAUGGUAACCAGAGGGGUCAAUUUUCUUUUUGCAGUUAAGGUUUUGUUGUUGUUGUUGUUGUUGUUGUUCUUUGUUUUGAGACGGAGUCUCACUCUGUUGCCAGGCUGCAGUGCAGUGGUGCAAUCUCAGCUCACUACAACUUCCGCCUCCUGGGUUCAAGCAAUUCUCCUGCCUCAGC
rnacentral:sRNA from 1 species